UACAGAGGGUGCGAGCGUUAAUCGGAAUUACUGGGCGUAAAGCGUGCGUAGACGGUUAUUUAAGUCGGACGUGAAAGCCCCGGGCUCAACCUGGGAAUUGCAUUCGAGACUGAAUAGCUAGGGUACGGUAGAGGGAAGCGGAAUUUCCGGUGUAGCGGUGAAAUGCGUAGAUAUCGGAAGGAACAUCAGUGGCGAAAGCGGCUUCCUGGACCAGUACCGACGUUCAGGCACGAAAGCGUGGGGAGCAAACAGG
rnacentral:rRNA from 1 species